AGUUGAAUUUCAAUGAAACAUAUGCUAAGUGAAUUUCAAAUGCUUAUAAGUUUAGUGUCGAAAAUAUAAAGCUUUCAGAAUGAAGAAUAACUAAUCAAUAUGCAAACUACUGAGUAACGCAAACGAAACAAGUUUAUAAGCGUUGUUUAAUACACGCACACAAACACUCGCACGUACAUAGGUACAAAUGCACAUGCAUACACAUGCAUACAUAUACACGCAUACACAUAUAGGUUCACACACAAGAAAAGUGAAAAAAAAUGUUUUUGAAGAUAUUCUAAAGCAAAACAUCUUGAAACGUAUCUGUGAAAAGAAUUAUAUUUAGCUUGCUUUGUGCAUUCAUUUCAACAGCUUCUAGGACUUCCGCGACAGCAACACUUCCUCCCUCCGAAAGAAGGAUAUACCUGCAAAGGUGGAUCAGGCCUACGUUCCUGUCUACUAUCUUACAAUGAUUGCUAUCUGCAAUAUGGCAUAUCCACCCUUGAAAAACACAGUUGAAACGAAGCAAACCAGAUAAUGUUAAUGUUUUAUUCAGCUAUUUUCUCUUUCCAUCAUAAUUGCGAACGAACAAUAGAAAUGUUUUUUGAUACAUGAACACUGAACGUAAAUCUGCGCCUUUACUAGAUUGUUAUAAACCUAUUCAUUGUAGAUCGGCAGUUAUUUAGAUUCAUUUCAACACAAAUAUAUGGACACAACCAUAAAAUCUGAAGUUAUAUGUUGCAGAUAACCAUUCUGCAUUAAUUAGAUGUGGUUAAUUAUUUAAAUAUGCAAUUUUCCCCUUCGUGGUGGAAUAUUUCGUGGCCAAGAGGAUGUAUAAGAUUCUUCUAUGUUGAAAACUGCAACAGGAUUGCCAAGAGACAACAACAAAAAGCGAAACAAAACAAAACAAAAACGGCACA